UUGAAAAGGGCCAAACUGAAUGAAUUUUAAUACUCUGCCCUUAUAAGGCAUCUCCUUCUGUAUUUUUUUCCUACAAUAGACUAAAGUAAUUCUGUGCUUAUUUUAUAGCUUUGCAGUCCCCAAAAAAACCAUGAAGCCCUGAGAGUAAUGAAAAGCUUCCUGACAUUGAGGUCACUGUGGAAGAUCAGAGGAUCAGAGAUCUCUCCUCUACACGAGGUGCCAUCCUUUCCUGAAGGAGCUCCUUGUAAAGUGCAUGAGGUGUUCCUUUUGGUAAAAAGACACACUGCGCAACCACAGAGACCUGAGCCUGAACCUAUAAAGAUUUGAACAAGAUCAGCGGCAACAUCAGAUUCUCGUGAGCACGAACCCUGUUGUGAACUGUGCAUGCAAGGGAUCUACCUUGCUCUGUCCUUAGGAGAAUCUAAUGCCUGAUGAUCUGUCACUGUCUCCCAUCACCCCCACAUGGGACCAUCUAGUUGCAGAAAAACAAGCUAAGGCCUCCCACUCAUUCUACAUUAUGCCUUAGCCGAGAUGUCUCACCCCACUCUCUAUGAUGCAACAAGAAGCCCCUGGGGAACGUUUCAGUCCCAGUCUGUACUAUUGUCAUGUGCUCAUCACAGUCUGAACCACCUAAGCUAAAGAUUCUUUUGAGAACAAGGGCUAGCCUGUGGUUUCAUGGCCUUUCUUCCAUUUGGGGUUCUUGCCAAGUGGAAUUUAAAUGACCUCUUAUCAAGAUGGAUAAACCCAAGUUUCCCAGUGCUGGAAUACAGAAAAUGGAUGGACA
rnacentral:lncRNA from 1 species